GCUAGUAAUCGCGCAUCAGCCACGGCGCGGUGAAUACGUUCCCGGGCCUUGUACACACCGCCCGUCAAGCCAUGGGAGUCGGAAAUGCCCGAAGUCUGUGACCCAACCUUAGGGAGGGAGCAGCCGAAGGCAGGUCGGAUGACUGGGGUGAAGUCGUAACAAGGUAUC
rnacentral:rRNA from 1 species